rnacentral:lncRNA from 10 species
GCUUUGUUUACCGAAUCAAGCCUGGGCAAUGGCGGGCGCCCCUCCCCCAGCCUCGCUGCCGCCUUGCAGUUUGAUCUCAGACUGCUGUGCUAGCAAUCAGCGAGACUCCGUGGGCGUAGGACCCUCCGAGCCAGGUGCAGGACAUAAUCUCGUGAUGAGCCUUUUUUAAGCCUGUCGGAAAAGCGCAGUAUUCAGGUGGGAGUGACCCGAUUUUCCAGGUGCCGUCCGACACCCCUUUCUUUGACUAGGAAAGGGAACUCCCUUACCCCUUGGGCUUCCUGAGUGAGGCAAUGCCUCGCCCUGCUUCGGCUCGCGCACGGGGUGCGCACCCACUGACCUGCACCCGCUGUCUGGCACUCCCUGGUGAGAUGAACCCGGUACCUCAGAUGGAAAUGCUGAAAUCACCCGUCUUCUUCGUCGCUCACGCUGGGAGCUGCAGACAGGAGCUGUUCCUAUGUGGCCAUCUUGGCUCCUCCCUAUGAACUCUUUUUUACAGGUGAGGGGACAGAGGCCUGGAGGAAUGCAAUGCCUUUUUUGCAAUCAUUCAUGUUUUGGGAACUUUCUUCUUUAUCAAACUUUAGUGCUAAAUCAUGGUUUCUGGUAGUGUAGGAAGACAUUAUGCAGUUUUGAAAAAUAAAGCCAGCUGAGAGUGAGGCUGAUGCCGAGUCAUGGGAGGAUCUACAGAUUCAACAUGUUUGUCAGCAGAGAAAUAUCAGCAGAAAAUAAAAUAAAAAUACAUGUUCAGUAGAAUGGAAAUUAAUAGAAGAAAAAGUUGCCAAAGGAAACAAGUGUGAAGGCAUGAUAAAGGAGAUCUUUUCUUCCAAAAAACAGAAGAAACAGUGUUAUAUAAUAAAAGAACAAAAGAUGACAAUGUGUGAAGAUACAGAAAAACUGUGAGUUAAAAAGGAGCACAAUAUAUGGUUAUUUUUUGGCUGUCCUUAAUCUUACCUAGGUAUAGUAUUUCAGAUUUGAUAUAUGUGGGAAACAAAAAUGAAAUCCACUAUAAUCCUGGACAAGAUCUUAAAUGUUAACCAGGAUAUACCAGGUUUCAUCCAUUACUGAAAAAAGUUUCAUAAAGUCUAAAUGCCA